CCCCUGGCCCUAGGAUGAACGCUGGCGGCGUGCCUAAUACAUGCAAGUCGAGCGAACGGACGAGAAGCUUGCUUCUCUGAUGUUAGCGGCGGACGGGUGAGUAACACGUGGAUAACCUACCUAUAAGACUGGGAUAACUUCGGGAAACCGGAGCUAAUACCGGAUAAUAUUUUGAACCGCAUGGUUCAAAAGUGAAAGACGGUCUUGCUGUCACUUAUAGAUGGAUCCGCGCUGCAUUAGCUAGUUGGUAAGGUAACGGCUUACCAAGGCAACGAUGCAUAGCCGACCUGAGAGGGUGAUCGGCCACACUGGAACUGAGACACGGUCCAGACUCCUACGGGAGGCAGCAGUAGGGAAUCUUCCGCAAUGGGCGAAAGCCUGACGGAGCAACGCCGCGUGAGUGAUGAAGGUCUUCGGAUCGUAAAACUCUGUUAUUAGGGAAGAACAUAUGUGUAAGUAACUGUGCACAUCUUGACGGUACCUAAUCAGAAAGCCACGGCUAACUACGUGCCAGCAGCCGCGGUAAUACGUAGGUGGCAAGCGUUAUCCGGAAUUAUUGGGCGUAAAGCGCGCGUAGGCGGUUUUUUAAGUCUGAUGUGAAAGCCCACGGCUCAACCGUGGAGGGUCAUUGGAAACUGGAAAACUUGAGUGCAGAAGAGGAAAGUGGAAUUCCAUGUGUAGCGGUGAAAUGCGCAGAGAUAUGGAGGAACACCAGUGGCGAAGGCGACUUUCUGGUCUGUAACUGACGCUGAUGUGCGAAAGCGUGGGGAUCAAACAGGAUUAGAUACCCUGGUAGUCCACGCCGUAAACGAUGAGUGCUAAGUGUUAGGGGGUUUCCGCCCCUUAGUGCUGCAGCUAACGCAUUAAGCACUCCGCCUGGGGAGUACGACCGCAAGGUUGAAACUCAAAGGAAUUGACGGGGACCCGCACAAGCGGUGGAGCAUGUGGUUUAAUUCGAAGCAACGCGAAGAACCUUACCAAAUCUUGACAUCCUUUGACAACUCUAGAGAUAGAGCCUUCCCCUUCGGGGGACAAAGUGACAGGUGGUGCAUGGUUGUCGUCAGCUCGUGUCGUGAGAUGUUGGGUUAAGUCCCGCAACGAGCGCAACCCUUAAGCUUAGUUGCCAUCAUUAAGUUGGGCACUCUAAGUUGACUGCCGGUGACAAACCGGAGGAAGGUGGGGAUGACGUCAAAUCAUCAUGCCCCUUAUGAUUUGGGCUACACACGUGCUACAAUGGACAAUACAAAGGGCAGCGAAACCGCGAGGUCAAGCAAAUCCCAUAAAGUUGUUCUCAGUUCGGAUUGUAGUCUGCAACUCGACUACAUGAAGCUGGAAUCGCUAGUAAUCGUAGAUCAGCAUGCUACGGUGAAUACUUUCCCGGGUCUUGUACACACCGCCCGUCACACCACGAGAGUUUGUAACACCCGAAGCCGGUGGAGUAACCUUUUAGGAGCUAGCCGUCGAAGGUGGGACAGC
rnacentral:rRNA from 1 species